rnacentral:rRNA from 1 species
GACGUAGGGGGCGAGCGUUGUCCGGAUUUAUUGGGCGUAAAGCGCGCGUAGGCGGCCCGUUAAGUCGGAUGUGAAAACCCGGGGCUCAACCCCGGGCCUGCAUUCGAUACUGGCGGGCUCGAGGCAGGCAGGGGAGAGUGGAAUUCCUGGUGUAGCGGUGAAAUGCGCAGAUAUCAGGAGGAACACCUAUUGCGAAGGCAGCUCGCUGGGACGUAACUGACGCUGAGACGCGAAAGCGUGGGGAGCAAACAGG